GCCGGGGGCCGGAGCGGAGCCGGAGCCGGAGCCGGAGCCGCGAGCCGGAGCCGGAGCCGGAGCCGCGAGCCGGGCUGUCCGGGCGCCCGCGGGAGCUCGCGGCGCGCCGGGGUUGGGACCCGCCUGGCCGAGCGCGCCGGCGCCGCGACCGCAGACAAAGGCGUCUCUCGCGCCCGGGCCGCCGCGCUCUCGGGCUCUGCCUUGGGGGAGCGCUGCCCACAGCAGGAGGGCUGGCCGGGCAGUGCAAAGCCUGGAAUCCCCUGAGCAAGCAGUGUUUCAGCUGGCUGGACAGAUCAAAUAACACUUGGGCUGGUUAACAAAGGACACGCAAGUGGGAAGGUGUUGGAAGCUGGAGUGUGGAAAUUUACCCAACGCUAUUUCUUUGACAGGAAAGGAGACAUGGUCUGAAAGAUGCCGCAUUCCUGCAGCCUCUCUGAGUCCAGCAGAACAGAGUCUUGUUCACGGUGGCGUGGAUGAGGGGGUGACAGAGGAUGCUGCCCCCUCGGAAGCCUCUGGAGGAUCCUGGCAUGGCAGCUGAGUGCCCCUCGGAUUUGGGACUUGAGGUGUAACUUGGUGUAGAGCUCAAGAAAGGUGGUUGGGUUCCUCCGGCUUUCUUCACCAGUGCUCACCAGCCUGAUUUGGGCUAUGAAACCUAGGAGGAGCUGGUAGAAAAGGGAGCUGGCGGAGGUAAAAGAAACCCCUAGAAGCCUCCAGAAUCCAUUGCCGGGAUCCCUUCAUACUGCUCAGGACACAAUAGUUACCAAGCUGCCGGAGGCUGUGACAAAACUGAGCUUUGGACCAUCGUAAAGGAACACAGCUCACUAACAGCUCUACAUUUCAGCCAGAAGGAACCUCUUUCAACAAAAGAUUCAAAGGGGAGCGUUUCUGCAUUUUUUACCUUGAGGUCCAUUAUGGUAGAAAACUUUACAUCCACAUAGAUGAUGAGACUGGUUUUUCUUUCCAAGAUGCUACGUUUUAAAAAAGCAUGAGCCAUUCUAAGCUUCGAGGAGAGUUCAGGGUACAGACGAGUUGGCAGACGGCCCUCCCAAUGCAAGUUAAGAAAAUCCUCUGAGCCUUCUCCUUCCAUAGCUCAGCAAGCAUGGACAUAUGCCACUCUUGUCUCCAGGGAGCCGGUGGCAGCGACAUCAGCACGAGGAGAGGCAUCCCUCGGCUUUGGGACUUGACAGAAUGAGGUGUGCUGGGGAAGCCGCUACCCGGGACUUGGCCGAUUUUGACCGCCCCUUCACCACGCGGGCAGA
rnacentral:lncRNA from 1 species